rnacentral:lncRNA from 1 species
UGAAGCGUGGUAGAUGGAACCCAGUUGUCUGUGAUUUAAAACCAAGGGGAACCUUAUGAUUCAGGGUUUGGGAUUUUUUUUCCUUCUUCCUUCUCCCCCAGGAGGACUCACCAGGCCCCACAUGUGUGUCUGCUUCAGAAACCACCUGUCCAUAAGUGCUAGCCCAGAACUGAGAGAAGGCUACUGCGUGAGGACAAAUUCAGGCACUGAUGGGUAAUGCCUAGAGAUUUUCCUCCUCCCUGCAGUCUCCACACCCCGGCUCCCUGCUCCCAAGCUGGAGAGGUCUGUUGGAGUCAACAGCAUGUGGAAAGUUCUGGAUCCUCCAAAGCAACCAGCGUGUUCCUUGGGAAGGGACAUUCCCCAAAUUGUUUGCUUCCCUUUACAAAACGCCAACAAGCCCCGCACCACCAGGUUUGCAUCUGUCCGUGAGCAGUGUUGAUCAAAGGCACAUGUUUGACUUGCACCAAAAUAACUCAAGUCCCCCAGGCAGCCGCUCCUGCUCUCCCCACCCCCAAUGGAGUUUGAGACGAAGUCUGUAAUCACAGUCCACAGCAUUUCGGAAACCACCUCCCCAUCUUGCUUCCUCCCAGCUGAUUUCCAGGGGAACAGAAGGAGACUGUUCGCUACCAGGGAGGAAGUCCAGGCCUAAGUGAGCAGCUUUCUAAGAGGCACCUACCAGAACAAGGCAUGUACUGCCGGGUAGUCCCUGCCAAGUGAGGUCGCUGUGCUGCAGAAGCAUGGAUGAAGAGACUCCGGAGGAGGAGGUUAGAAGAGGCAGCCAGGACAAGAGCUAAGAAGAGUUAGGAGUUAAGGGCAGUUCUUACAGUGGGCUGGAAAAAAAGGGUGUGUCUAUGGGGUGGGGGGUGUCUACUAUCACUCACACAUCAGCCCAUCUCCCCUACCCAGCAAUUAAUUCACCCCACAACCCCCAAAUCAAUUCUGCCCCCUGCCUCCAUCAUUCUGCCCUCACAUCAGUUCUUGCCCCUUCCUCCAGCCUCCCCUCUGUUCCUCCUGCAGCUAAGGAGACCUUCAUCCUCCUCUCCCCUUCCCAGGCUUAGUGUUGCAAGGAGGAAUGUGGGGUGGGAGGGCACAGAGCAGAGGAGGAGUGGGGAGAGAGGGGAGCAGCUGGGGCCUUUCUGCUCCCCCCCUCAACUCUUUUGAGAAUGGUGAGGGUUCCUGCGGGGCGGGGGAAGAGGUCUGCCUGCUGACCCUAGCUGCAGCCCUGAUCAGUGAUUGGCUGCUCUUCACCAGGAAGUGAGUAACAUGGGGAAAGCAUCCAAUCAGGUUUUUUU